rnacentral:rRNA from 1 species
GCCCAUGUGAAGCUCCUUCGACGAGUCGAGUUGUUUGGGAAUGCAGCUCAAAAUGGGUGGUAAAUUUCAUCUAAAGCUAAAUAUUGGCCAGAGACCGAUAGCGCACAAGUAGAGUGAUCGAAAGAUGAAAAGCACUUUGGAAAGAGAGUUAAACAGUACGUGAAAUUGUUGAAAGGGAAGCGCUUGCAAUCAGACUUGCCUGCGGGCGAUCAUCCGGUAUUCUUACCGGUGCACUCGCCCGUGGUCAGGCCAGCAUCGGUUUGGGCGGCCGGAUAAAACCCCCCGGAACGUAGCUCCUCUCGGGGAGUGUUAUAGCCGGGGGUGCAAUGCGGCCCGCCCGGACCGAGGACCGCGCUUCGGCUAGGAUGCUGGCGUAAUGGUUGUAAGCGACCCGUCUUGAAACACGGACCAAGGAGUCUAACAUCUAUGCGAGUGUUUGGGUGUCAAACCCAUGCGCGUAAUGAAAGUGAACGGAGGUGGGAACCCUCAAGGGUGCACCAUCGACCGAUCCUGAUGUCUUCGGAUGGAUUUGAGUAAGAGCAUAGCUGUUGGGACCCGAAAGAUGGUGAACUAUGCCUGAAUAGGGUGAAGCCAGAGGAAACUCUGGUGGAGGCUCGCAGCGGUUCUGACGUGCAAAUCGAUCGUCAAAUUUGGGUAUA